rnacentral:lncRNA from 1 species
GAGGUUGGGAGAGUUCAAUUUUAGGUCGAUUAAUUGGGUCCCAGUAAAUCCUAUACUUUUGAUUUUUUUUUUUAAUUUAUUGUGUGUGUUUUUGUCAGAGAGAGGGAUAGGUGAGGGUUGUGGUCGGGGUGAAAGAGGGGCAGAGAAAUGGAGCUUGUGAUUUGGUGAAGGGAUCGAUUCCAUUGGGAUUUUAUAAAUCAAGGAUUUGAAUCCAUAAUGGCGGGUGGUUUGGACUGGACUUGGUUGAAAUCAUAAAUUUGGAAUUCAAAUAUAUAGGUGUAAAACUUGUGCUAGGUUGUGAUACAUUGUGUUGUAGUUGUGAAGUUUUGUAGCAGGUAGACAUUGAAGUGUAAUUGGAUGGGGGAUGAACUAUUAUUUUUAUGUGGCCAUGGUUGUUUUAGAAAGUUGUCACACUAGUGUUGGAAAUUGUGCUACACAAAAUUGUGACAUAUGAUGAAUGUAUAUGAAUAUAUGUGAUAACUUACGAAUGUUUAUGACAAUAACACAUAAGUUACUUACAAAAGCUUGACACUACGAUAUACUUAAAAAAAAAAAGCGCAAAAUGUACAUAACAACGAGUCGUAAAUAUAUAAGAAGGUAGACUUGACCCUAAUGACCAUUGGGUGGCUUGUGAGUUGCUUUUAAGUACUUGUGCUCCUUGUAAUUAUCACUAUCUCUUAUGAUGUUCUCCACGUGCGAGGGCAAAAUGUAGUCCCAAUCAUAUUCCUUGCUGUUCCGAUGGAGAUACAAACGAAAUUUUCUCAAACCCAUCAAAGAAAGCGGAGUCACACUCUUGUUGGAGCUGCUUUGUCGCCCAUAAAAUGAUUGACAUACGAUGUAGAUAUUCCUCCUCUUUUAGAACUAGUUCAUCAUACUUAUGAUUUCGGUUAUGUAUUUGGCAUUGAUACUUGGCCGAUUUGUACAACGCCUCGUUUAGAUUUUGUUGUAACGCAACCUAAGUGGAUUCCUGUUAGUCGCACUUUUGAUGCCACAUAUUGACGGAUUGUGAGUAAUUUCCUAAUUUGAUAUUCUCUUGUGCAAUUUGAUCGGUCCAAAUAUCGAAAUCAACAUCACUCUCCAAAUCACACAUGACAUCUAUGGUUGCCAUGGUUGUGACGAA